AUGCAUCACAAAGAAUCCAAAUCCAUCUCAUUUUCCCCCCCAAAAUUUCAUUAUGUUCUCUAUAUAGAUUUAGACUUGGUUAACAAAAAAAGGGGGAAGAGAUAUACCAACAACAUAGAAAAUCUCAAGAGAAAAAACAAAAACAACAAACAGAGAAAACCACUUAUCUUUCUCUCCAUUCCCAAAACAGCAUCUCAAAUCUCUCUUUCUCUCGCUAGUCACACUCUUUCAAAUAUCUUCUUCUCAUGUGUAGUAGCAUCAUUUUCAAUAGCAACAAGAGAAAGUGAACCCAAAAGGCUUUUGUUCUUUGAUUCUUUCUCUUUACAUACACUUGCACCCUGGUGUUUCCUUCUUUCCUACCUUCUGUGUUCUCUGCUCUGA